UGGGGAAUAUUGCACAAUGGGCGCAAGCCUGAUGCAGCCAUGCCGCGUGUGUGAAGAAGGCCUUCGGGUUGUAAAGCACUUUUGUCCGGAAAGAAAUCCUUGGCUCUAAUACAGUCGGGGGAUGACGGUACCGGAAGAAUAAGCACCGGCUAACUACGUGCCAGCAGCCGCGGUAAUACGUAGGGUGCAAGCGUUAAUCGGAAUUACUGGGCGUAAAGCGUGCGCAGGCGGUUUGCUAAGACCGAUGUGAAAUCCCCGGGCUCAACCUGGGAACUGCAUUGGUGACUGGCAGGCUAGAGUAUGGCAGAGGGGGGUAGAAUUCCACGUGUAGCAGUGAAAUGCGUAGAGAUGUGGAGGAAUACCGAUGGCGAAGGCAGCCCCCUGGGCCAAUACUGACGCUCAUGCACGAAAGCGUGGGGAGCAAACAGGAUUAGAUACCCUGGUAGUCCACGCCCUAAACGAUGUCAACUAGUUGUUGGGGAUUCAUUUCCUUAGUAACGUAGCUAACGCGUGAAGUUGACCGCCUGGGGAGUACGGUCGCAAGAUUAAAAGCUCAAAUGAA
rnacentral:rRNA from 1 species